AGGACUGCAGAGACAGGUUCAGCCACGACCCGAAGUCCACGACCCGAAGUCCACGACGGGCAGCGUCCGGGAAAACCAAACUUGAAGAAGGGACUGCAAUAGCCUGGAUGUUGGUCAUCAGAGUAGAUGCCCUGCAAUUCUCCUCUUUUACCUUUCCCAACAUAUCCUAUGAAUAGAAAAAGAAAAUAUUGUAAUUGAAUCACACUAGGACCACAACACACUAAAUAUGUAAUGACACAUAAACAUUAUUAUCCAGAAUAAGAAGUCUACCUGGUUUGCAGUUUUUGUAAGGCUCCAAGCAUCCACGGCAGGUGUCAAUGGUGUACAUGACGUUGAAAUCCUGCUUGUAUGAAGCAGAGAACAAACUCCAUGUAGCAACACCUGUGUAAAACAAGCAUUUCAAUAGAGCCAUUAAAAAUAUGCAUAGACACCACAGCUGUCGUAUACUGCUGCACCUUCACUGAAUCACUUACUCUCAAGCCAGCGAAAGUGGGCCCCUCUUCUGAAAGACACAGUGGACAUUGUGUCUCUGAAGGUGGUACACACUAGAGUGAGUGAUGAGUACGCUUUGUCACCUUCCUGGAGAACCACUUCCAUCAGAAGGUCCGAGAGAAGACAGUUUGGCAGCUGUGAAGUAUUGGUCAGACUAGAUCAAACAUAUUUAACAACACAUUGACUAGACUGUUGCCAGCACAAUCAAAAUACCAAGAUUCUUUGGGCUUCAGGUAGCAAAAAGACACAUUUUUAAUAUUAAUGUUGAAUAUAUCACACACAUUUUUCUUAUGUUUUGUUAUUCUUCUCCUUGAGGUAAAAAACAGCUAUCAAUAAAGUUAAAAAAAGCAGUGAGACAUAAUAGUUGGAAAUUCUGCCGUGAUCACAGGUCGUUUUUUAAACAAAAAACAGUUACUGCUUCACUGAAAAGAUAUUACCUCCAAUAUGAAGCACAUGUCGGACUUUUGAAACUGGACCUUUGAAGGAAAAUAUAAGGUGUGGGUCAUGUGAUUGUUUAAUUACAUGUGUAUACAAUUAUCAAUAUGUAUGCAUGUGUUAAAUAAUCUGGAUCUGUCCGUGGCUAUAAAAAUCACAUAAUAUCAGGAUGAAAAUGUAAAUCAGUGUCAAAGAAACUGUUGUCUAUAAAGUAACAUUUAAAAUGUAUGAUUUACCCUUCAAUCUGGUACCGUUCCAUGAGCAUAAUGCACCACCAUUUCCGGAUCUGUGCUAUGUCCCGCUAAAAGAAAAUGUAACAAUAAUAAAGUUGAAAAUGAAUGGAACCUCA